rnacentral:rRNA from 1 species
GAUGAACGCUGGCGGCGUGCCUAAUACAUGCAAGUCGAGCGAACAGACGAGGCGCUUGCUCCUCUGAAGUUAGCGGCGGACGGGUGAGUAACACGUGGAUAACCUACCUAUAAGACUGGGAAAACUUAGGGACACCGGAACUAAUACCGGUUAAUAUCAUCAACCGCAUGGUUCAAUAGUGAAAGACGGUUUUGCUGUCACUUAUAGCUGGCUCCGCACCGCAUUCGCUAGUUGGACAGGUAACGGCUUAACAAGGCAACUAUGCGUAGCCGACCUGAGAGGGUGACGGGCCACACUGGAACACGAUCACGGACCAGACACCAACAGGAGGCAGCAUUAGGUUAUCUUCCGCAAUAAGCGAAAAGCUUACAGAGCAAUGCCGCGUGGAUGAUGAAAGUCUUCGGAUCGUAAAACUCUUUUAUUAUGUAAGAACAAAUGUAUAAUUAUCUAUGCACAUCUUGACGGGAGCGAGUCAGAAAGCCACGGCGAGGUACGUG